UCCUGACCUUGGGUGCUGUCUGUGUGGAGUUUGCACGUUCUCCAUAUGACCAUGAGAUUCCUCCAGUUGCUCCGGCUUUCUCCCACAUCCCAAAGAUGGAGCUGUUGAAGGUCCCCACGCAAAAAAUCAAACUGUCCAUUUUUCUCCACACAUGACCCAUUAAGUAUCACCAGCAGAUUGUUGCUCCAGAUUCCAGCAUCUGCAGUUCCCCGAGUCCCCUCUGACUUAUUUUCAUACUGGUCUUAUGCACUCUUGAAGAAGAAGAUGAGGCCAAUAUGGGAACCACAGAUUCUUCCGUAGAUGAGCAGGAGAUGCCCAAUGGGGCAGUGGGCAGACCCUCAUUCCAAGAGUUGAUGGUUAAUGCAGGGCCGACAAAUACAAAUUGAGCAAAAUUGCUUUGCAAGAUAGAAAUGCGAACAGUUUGGAAGUUAAUACACUCCUUAUGCUGGUU